rnacentral:rRNA from 1 species
AACGCGAAGAACCUUACCAGAGCUUGACAUCUCUCUGCAUAGUCCGUAAUGGGAUGAAGUCCUUCGGGACGGGGAGACAGGUGGUGCAUGGUUGUCGUCAGCUCGUGUCGUGAGAUGUUGGGUUAAGUCCCGCAACGAGCGCAACCCUUAUACUUAGUUGCCAUCAUUAAGUUGGGCACUCUAAGUAGACUGCCGGAGACAAUUCGGAGGAAGGUGGGGAUGACGUCAAAUCAUCAUGCCCCUUAUGUUCUGGGCUACACACGUGCUACAAUGGGUACAACAACGGGAAGCAAGCCAGUGAUGGUGAGCAAAUCCCUAAAAAGUACUCCCAGUUCGGAUUGUUCUCUGCAACUCGAGAACAUGAAGCCGGAGUUGCUAGUAAUCGCGAAUCAG